GACGAACGCUGGCGGCGUGCCUAAUACAUGCAAGUAGAGCGCUGAAGGAGGAGCUUGCUUCUCUGGAUGAGUUGCGAACGGGUGAGUAACGCGUAGGUAACCUGCCUGGUAGCGGGGGAUAACUAUUGGAAACGAUAGCUAAUACCGCAUAAGAGUAGAUGUUGCAUGACAUUUUCUUAAAAGGUGCAAUUGCAUCACUACCAGAUGGACCUGCGUUGUAUUAGCUAGUUGGUGGGGUAACGGCUCACCAAGGCGACGAUACAUAGCCGACCUGAGAGGGUGAUCGGCCACACUGGGAAUGAGACACGGCCCAGACUCCUACGGGAGGCAGCAGUAGGGAAUCUUCGGCAAUGGACGGAAGUCUGACCGAGCAACGCCGCGUGAGUGAAGAAGGUUUUCGGAUCGUAAAGCUCUGUUGUAAGAGAAGAAAGAGUGUGAGAGUGGAAAGUUCACACUGUGACGGUAUCUUACCAGAAAGGGACGGCUAACUACGUG
rnacentral:rRNA from 1 species